ensembl:snRNA U2 U2 spliceosomal RNA
AUUGCUUCUCGGCCUUUUAGCUAAGAUCAAGUAUACUAUUUGUUCUUAUCAGUUUAAUAUCUAAUACAUCCUCCAUAAGAGGACAAUGUGUUAAAUGGAUUUUUGGAGCAGGAGAUGGAAUAAGAGCUUGCUCCACCCACUCCACACAUUGACCUGGUAUUGUAGUACUUCCUGGAAUGGUGCACCCCAC